rnacentral:rRNA from 1 species
AGUGAACGUUGGCGGCGUGGAUUAGGCAUGCAAGUCGAGCGAGAACCGUAGCAAUACGGGGACAGCGGCGAAAGGGACAGUAAUGUGUAGGUACCUACCCCCGGGUUCGGGAUAGCUGCAGGAAACUGCAGGUAAUACCGAAUAAAGUCUCCGGACCCAAGGUGUGAUUCCACCUGGGGAGGGGCCUGCAUCCUAUUAGCUUGUUGGUGGGGUAACGGCCUACCAAGGCGACGAUGGGUAGCGGGUGUGAGAGCAUGACCCGCGUCAUUGGGACUGAGACACUGCCCAGACACCUACGGGUGGCUGCAGUCGAGAAUCUUCGGCAAUGGGCGCAAGCCUGACCGAGCGACGCCGCGUGCGGGACGAAGGCCUUCGGGUUGUAAACCGCUGUCGUAGAGGAGGAAAUGCAGGGGGGUUCUCCCCUUUGCUUGACCUAUUCUAGGAGGAAGUACGGGCUAAGUUCGUGCCAGCCGCCGCGGUAA